ensembl:processed_transcript Gm12198 predicted gene 12198
CCCGAAGUUGGCCAACUUGGCCCCGGGCGCGGCGCACAGAGUUUGCCCAAGUCGCCUCGGACGAUGCUUGAGGAAGGGUCGGCGGGGCGCGCUGGGCGGAUAAAGACACCUGUCUCUUUGCUCUUCCACUCACCCUUCCCCAAGCCGCUGUGGCAAGCCUAAAGCAGAAGAUACAGAGAUAACUCCAUAUAAACAGGAGGGCCCAGUCUUAUGAGGGAAACUGCAUGAUCUGUACAACUGGUGGCUUUCAUGGUGACUUCAGAUCCUUGGUUCUGUCCUUCCUGGGGCAUGGUGUGUGGGCGUGGACCACCGUAGUCUGACAACCACCCAGUGGCUUCCUUGCUUCCUGGGGACAGCUGGGGUUGCACUAGGAAGUCUGAGACAGGAGGAUAGCCAUGACUUUGAGGUUAACCUGGUCGACAGAGUGAAAUCCUCUCUUAAAACCGACAACCCUCAAAAGAAGGGGGGAUAGAAAGAAAGGUAAAACUGUGGCAUUUUAGUUUUUAAAAAUAUAUUUCUAAAAUUUCUGGAGGAAUUGGGAAGAGUGGCCAAAAUGAGCCCACAUUCCUGCUUAGCCACAAUUAUUAAAUGGGAUAUUUAUCUGUCAGUUUGCUGAAGGUCCACUCCCCACACAUGUACCCUGAAGACAUGAUCAUUCUGAACUCUGAUGAUCCAGUUUGUCCCAAAGUUGGAGCUGGAAUCCCAGUGUGGCAGAAAGGAGCUGGUGCUGGAGCAGGGUAUCCUUCAGCGCUCGAAGUGUGGACUGAGUCUGAAGAUGACAGGAACAGGCAGGUCAGGGAUGGGCUAGGCGGGCUGGAGACAGCGUUCGCCUGUGAUUCUCCAAGCCAGAUGAAGGAAGCAAGCCCAGUAGCUUCACCUACUUCAGGGCCUCUCCCCUCCCCCUCAUCUUCCUGCCGUGCGGACGGUCAUUAUCAGUUUUAUUUUUUCUACCACCUACCACUUCUACUGCUACCUCCUUAUGUAGCACUUAAUAGUUUACUUCCAAAAAAAAUUGAAGGAUACUUUAAGCCAGUGCCAUAAAGCAAGAGCCAGAGUCUCUCCAUUUCACCAUAAAUCAAAAAUCACUGUCCCCCAAAUAAAUAAAAUGAGAAGUGAGAAGAGGAGCCAGGUCCUAGCUACUACUGCCCACCCCAAAGUGGUGCUGAAGCUGAGAAGCCAGUUUGAGACAGACUUCGAAGUGGGGACAGCGGAAGCCCUUCACCAGCCUGGCCUACCUAGAAGCCCUCACAGGAAACCGCUGCAGGAUGCUACGGAUGAAUCGGGUGCGUAGACUUCAAAUUUCAGCACUUUGGUGGAGACUAAGGGUUAUUGACAUGUCCCAGCUGACUGCUUAUCUCGUGUGUGUGUGUGUGUGUGUGUGUGUGUGUGUGUGUGUGUCUGUCUGUCUGUCUGUCUGUCUGUCUGUCUAUGUGUGCACACAUGGCUGAGUUAGCAGAGUGCUGGCCUACCAUCCCCCAGCACUACAUAAAUUCCACGCCCAGCACUUCAGAGGUUGAGGCAGGAAGAUCAAAAGCAGCAAGUUCAAGUUUGGGGGCUGGAGAGAUGGCCCAGCAGUUAAGAGCAGUGGCUCCUCUUCAAGAGUACUGGGUUCAAUUUCCAGCACCCACAUGGCGGCUCACAACUCUCUGUAACUCCAGUUCCAGAGGGGAUUCAGCGCCCUCCUCUGGUCUCUAUUGGCACUGCAUGCACACGGUACACAUACAUGUAGGCAAAAAUAC